GUAGGUGAACCUGCGGAAGGAUCAUUAUUGAAAUAAACCUGAUGAGUUGCUGCUGGUUCUCUAGGGAACAUGUGCACACUUGUCAUUUUUAUAUUUCCACCUGUGCACUUUUUGUAGACUUGGAUAUCUUUCUGAAUGCUUUUUUGUAGCAUGUCAGGUUUGAGGAUUGACUUUAUUGUCUGUCUUUACAUUUCCAGGUCUAUGUUCCUUCAAUAUACCCCUAAUGUAUGUUAUAGAAUGUAGUAAGUGGGCCUUUGUGCCUAUAAACCUUAUACAACUUUCAGCAACGGAUCUCUUGGCUCUC
rnacentral:misc_RNA from 1 species